CUGAUAGAACUAUUUAUUAGUUUCUUCAUACCCCUUUGUUAACUUACCGUGUUGCUUCCACUGGACAGGCUAAUCUUGUGUUUGCAAGGUGAGCCCUUUGGCUUGUAUGGUGAAUACUUGCCAGGGAGUUGCCAGUGGUAAGACCCCACUACAAAACUUUGCUGAACAAACUGUCUGAUCAAUGUUUUUAACAAAUAAACA
rnacentral:misc_RNA from 1 species